ACUCUGGUCCUGCCCACGGACAGCCUGCAGCAGGGUCUGGACAGCACCGUGGCACCCGCUAUCGCCAUUGCAGUGGGAGUACUGGUCCCCCUGACUGCCCUCCUCCUUCUCACCUGUCUCCUCUGCCACUGCCUCAGGCACCGACGUGACCUGGAGAGAAACCCAGCCUGGCCAUGCUGGGUUCUUCCUGCCUGUAGCAAGGCCAAGAAGUGCGGGCAGUACGGAGCUGCAGGCAGGUGGGCUCCUGUGGGGUCCCCCAGCCCCAGUGCACCGCUGAACACCUGAGAAACUGCCCACGCUACACACACAAGAGGGAAACUCU